GGCGCCGCGGCUUCGUUGGUUAAAGCUGCCUGUCUAGUAAAACAGGACAUCACGAGUUCCGUGAAUCUCGUCGGUGACA